GAUGAACGCUGGCGGCAGGCUUAACACAUGCAAGUCGAGCGGAGAGAAGUAGCUUGCUACUGAUCUUAGCGGCGGACGGGUGAGUAAUGCUUAGGAAUCUGCCUAUUAGUGGGGGACAACAUUUCGAAAGGAAUGCUAAUACCGCAUACGCCCUACGGGAGAAAGCAGGGGAUCUUCGGACCUUGCGCUAAUAGAUGAGCCUAAGUCGGAUUAGCUAGUUGGUGGGGUAAAGGCCUACCAAGGCGACGAUCUGUAGCGGGUCUGAGAGGAUGAUCCGCCACACUGGGACUGAGACACGGCCCAGACUCCUACGGGAGGCAGCAGUGGGGAAUAUUGGACAAUGGGCGGAAGCCUGAUCCAGCCAUGCCGUGUGUGUGAAGAAGGCCUUAUGGUUGUAAAGCACUUUAAGCGAGGAGGAGGCUACUUUAGUUAAUACCUAGAGAUAGUGGACGUUACUCGCAGAAUAAGCACCGGCUAACUCUGUGCCAGCCGCCGCCGUAAUAC
rnacentral:rRNA from 1 species